ACUGUGUUAAAGAGAAACAGGAAAGCAGAUAAAAUUAAUCUAGCUUGGCUAGGAUGUACGUGCUGCCUGAGAAAAGCAUUACUAAGGCAGCAGUUGUUUUAAUAUGACUGAGAGGUCAACAGAGGAAAUAGGUUUAUAUUUAUUAAUAUUGGAACCAAAAUAGCAUUUGUACAAGAAAAGUGAUUGAUGCUUUAGCAUCCAUACAAGGUAGAGUUACAGGAAAUAAUUUUCCCCAGAUGAUUUAUAACUUUGUUAUACAGAGACAGAUGUCUUUGUAGUAAAAAUAUUUCAUAUCGGGAAAUGAGUUUUACAAAUGCUAUUUUUCUUCUUCAGCAUAAGCUGCAUGAACUGCUUCACAAGUUUGGUGGUACAAAUACAGUUGAAUAUUGUACUUGUCCAAUUAAUGGCAUGAGUUCUCUCCUUUUUGCCAAGAAGUCUAAUAUCAACUGUUUGGGACCCUCACAACUUCCAGAAUUCUAUUAGUUUGGAGGUUUUGUCAUUCUAAAGAAUACACAAACGCUCCUUGUCCUGUUUCUAAAAUCAUUUCUACACAGAAAGGGACUAGUGGUCAGGGAAGCUUCAGUCAGAACACUGAAGGUCAAGUAUCUCUGUCCCCAUUCACAGAAGCGUGAUUUUUCGUCACACUGUUGCAUAAUUGGGAGGACCACUCAGUUGACUUCCUAAAAUAAUACAAUUUCUAAGUUUUUCGGCGAACACAACAUCUUUGUUUGUAUGUGGUGCUGAGGAUCCAACCCGGGCCGCACACAUGCCAGGUGAGCGCGCUACUGCUUGAGCCACAUCCGCAGCCCUUGAUGUGAUUUUAAAGUAGUUUCUUUUGUACCAAAUUCAGGACUACAGGAGACAAGUAUAAAUUUAUCAUCAUGUAUGUAAUACUUAAAACUACUUCUUAUAAAACUGAAAUAUGAAAGCAGAUUUUCAAAAUGUUGCAAAUGGCUACCUUUCAGUGUCUUUUCCAGUGGCAGUGUUUAUUCUAGAAUCUUUUUUCUGGUCUUUUACUUCAUGACAUCUAGCAAACUUUACUGAUAAUCAGGGGUGAAUAACUUAUAAAUAUCUACAAUCAGUUUGUAAUCAAAUCUGAUGAAAACAUUUAUGCAUGCUUAUUACAUUUCUCUAUAUAUUUUCAAAUGAACUAUUUUAAGGAUUGCUAUUUAAAACUUUAUUCUGUAGAUGUUAAACUAGAAAUGUUCU